GACAUAGGUGGCGAACGUUAUCCGGAAUUAUUGGGCGUAAAGGGUGCGUAGAUUGUGUGAUAAGUUACUAGUGGUAAAUCAAGGCUCAACCUUGCGGAAGCUAGUAAUACUGUUACACUUUGAGUGCAGAAGAGGUUAACGGAAUUCCAUGUGGAGCGGUGAAAUGUGUUGAUAUAUGGAAGAACAUCAAUAAAGGCGAAGGCAGUUAACCAUUCUGCUACUGACGUUGAGGCACGAAAGCGUGGGGAGCAAACAGG
rnacentral:rRNA from 1 species